rnacentral:rRNA from 1 species
CGUGGGUAACCUGCCCAAGAGACUGGGAUAACACCUGGAAACAGAUGCUAAUACCGGAUAACAACACUAGACGCAUGUCUAGAGUUUAAAAGAUGGUUCUGCUAUCACUCUUGGAUGGACCUGCGGUGCAUUAGCUAGUUGGUAAGGUAACGGCUUACCAAGGCAAUGAUGCAUAGCCGAGUUGGGAGACUGAUCGGCCACAUUGGGACUGAGACACGGCCCAAACUCCUACGGGAGGCAGCAG